GGGUUUGUAGCUCAACUGGUUAGAGCGCAUGGUUUACAUCCAUGAGGUUAGAGGUUCAAGUCCUCUCGAACCCACCA
rnacentral:tRNA from 1 species